GAUGAACGCUGGCGGUAUGCCUAAUACAUGCAAGUCGUGCGGAAAGGCCUCUUCGGAGGUACUCGAGCGGCGGACGGCAGAGUAACGCGUAGGAACAUACCCCAAACUGAGGGAUAACUGCUCGAAAGAGUAGCUAAUACCGCAUGUGGUCUUCGGACUAAAGCUUCGGCGGUUUGGGAAUGGCCUGCGUUCGAUUAGCUAGUUGGUGAGGUAAUUGCUCACCAAGGCGACGAUCGAUAGCUGGUCUGAGAGGAUGAUCAGCCUGACUGGAACUGAGACACGGUCCAGACUCCUACGGGAGGCAGCAGUAGGGAAUUUUCCACAAUGGGCGAAAGCCUGAUGGAGCAAUACCGCGUGCAGGAUGAAGGCCUUCGGGUCGUAAACUGCUUUUAUGUGAGAAGAAUUUGACGGUAACACAUGAAUAAGGGUCGGCUAACUACGUGCCAGCAGCCGCGGUAAU
rnacentral:rRNA from 1 species